AAAUGGAGCUAGAAAAGUGUUCAACUGUGUACGGAUUUGCUUUUGUUGACUGUGCUGCCUUGAGGUUUUGGGUUGGCUCCAUCAGCGAUGAUGCAUCAUGUGCUGCUCUUGGAGCUUUAUUGAUGCAGGUUUCUCCAAAGGAAGUGGUAUAUGACAGUAAAGGGCUAUCAAGAGAAGCCCAAAAGGCUCUAAGGAAAUAUACAUUGACAGG